rnacentral:rRNA from 1 species
GCGUAAAGCGCGCGUAGGUGGCCAAUUAAGUCAAAUGUGAAAUCCCCGAGCUUAACUUGGGAAUCGCAUUCGAUACUGGUUGGCUAGAGUAUGGGAGAGGAUGGUAGAGUUCCAGGUGUAGCGGUGAAAUGCGUAGAGAUCUGGAGGAAUACCGAUGGCGAAGGCAGCCAUCUGGCCUAAUACUGACACUGAGGUGCGAAAGCAUGGGGAGCAAACAGGAUUAGAUACCCUGGUAGUCCAUGCCGUAAACGAUGUCUACUAGCCGUUGGGGCCUUUGAGGCUUUAGUGGCGCAGCUAACGCGAUAAGUAGACCGCCUGGGGAGUACGGUCGCAAGACUAAAACUCAAAUGAAUUGACGGGGGCCCGCACAAGCGGUGGAGCAUGUGGUUUAAUUCGAUGCAACGCGAAGAACCUUACCUGGUCUUGACAUAGUAAGAACUUUCCAGAGAUGGAUUGGUGCCUUCGGGAACUUACAUACAGGUGCUGCAUGGCUGUCGUCAGCUCGUGUCGUGAGAUGUUGGGUUAAGUCCCGCAACGAGCGCAACCCUUUUCCUUAUUUGCCAGCGGGUUAAGCCGGGAACUUUAAGGAUACUGCCAGUGACAAACUGGAGGAAGGCGGGGACGACGUCAAGUCAUCAUGGCCCUUACGACCAGGGCUACACACGUGCUACAAUGGUCGGUACAAAGGGUUGCUACCUCGCGAGAGGAUGCUAAUCUCAAAAAGCCGAUCGUAGUCCGGAUUGGAGUCUGCAACUCGACUCCAUGAAGUCGGAAUCGCUAGUA